ACUUCAUAUACAGAACAGUCUGAUGUUUCAGUAGGCGGAGUUGCUUUGAAAUAUACUAGAGUUAUUUCAGUUUACAAAAUUCCUUAUAAUUUUUGCUUAAAACUGCUUACUAAAAGAAAUGGAUUGCACUGGAGCAGUUUUGACAUUACUACUAUUUAUUCUUGCAAUUAUGUUCCUUUUGAAAAAGGGGAGUUCCUGGAAUAACAACUCCCACAAUCUCCCUCCGGGACCCAGGACUAUACCCAUUUUGGGAAAUCUACAUAUGAUGGAUCUGAAGAAGCCUUUCAAAACAAUGAUAGAGUGGUCAAAAGAAUACGGUCCCAUUUUCCGCAUCAAACUGGGAUGCCAGGAGAUGGUGGUGCUGACUGGCUAUGAGACGGUCAAAGAGGCUCUAGUGAACCAGGCAGAAGCAUUUGGAGAGAGAGCCUCCGUCCCCAUUUUUGAGCAUGUUGUAAAGGGCUUUGGUCUUGUUUUUGCUCAUGGUGAGAACUGGAAAGUGAUGCGACGGUUUACAUUAUCCACUUUACGGGAGUACGGAAUGGGCAAGAGGACAAUUGAAGACAAAAUCACAGAAGAGUGCAGUAUCUUAAUGAAGACAAUUGAGACUUAUGCAGAAAAAUCCUUUGACAUCACAACAAUUCUGACUGCUGCUGUUUCCAACAUCAUAGUUUCUAUUCUACUUGGGAAACGCUAUGAAUAUGAAGAUGCCACAUUUAUACAACUACUGAAGAUAAACAGUGAAAAUAUUCGGCUUUCAGGAAGCCCUGUUAUAUUGCUAUACAAUUUGUUUCCCAAGUUGGGGUUCCUUUUGGCUACUCCUAAAUUAAUGAUAAAGAAUCAAAAUAAGCUCCAUGAAUUCAUACAGAGCAUCUUGAAAGAAUAUUUCCAAGAUCUUGAUGAAAAUGACCAGAGGAAUUUGAUCGAAUCAUUUCUUGUUCGGCAAAGAGAAAAGAAUAUGAUAAAAAAAGGUGGAUAUUUCUGUAAUGAAAACCUUAUGGGUCUUGUAGAUGAUUUAUUUGGUGCUGGUACAGAAACAAUAGCAAACACUCUGUGCUGGGCCAUAUUCCUAAUGAUGAAAUAUCCAGAAAUUCAGAAUAAAGUCCAAGAAGAAAUUGCAAAAGAGAUUGGUGAUCAUCAGCCAAGGACUGACUUCCGAGCCAAAAUGCCUUACACUGAUGCCGUAAUUCAUGAAAUUCAAAGGUUUGCCGACAUUGUUCCCACCAAUUUGCCCCAUGCAACCACCAUGGACGUAACUUUCAAAGGCUUCUUCAUUCCCAAGGGAAUGUUCAUACUUCCAUUGCUGACUUCUGUGCUCCAUGAUGAAUCUCAGUGGGAGAAACCUCAUGAAUUCUAUCCUGAACAUUUUCUUGACUCUGAAGGAAAAUUUGUGAAAAGGGAUGCAUUCAUGCCAUUUUCUGCUGGUCGGAGAAUAUGUGCAGGUGAGAACCUUGCCAAAAUGGAGCUCUUCCUCUUCUUUACCAGCCUCUUGCAGAAAUUUACCUUCCAGCCACCCCCAGGAAUAUUUAAAGAUGAUCUGGACCUGACCCCUGUUGUUGGACUUACCUUCAUUCCCAUGCCGUACAAGACUUGUGCUGUGUUACGCUGAUCUGACACAAAAAACUGUAACAAGUUUUCUCUCUCUCAUCUCUCUUUCUCUCUCUCUCAUCUCUCUCUCUCUCUCUCAUUUCUCUCUCCCCCUCUCUGUCUGUCUGUUUCUCUCAUCUCUCCUUCUGUCUCUCUCUCAUCUCUCUCUCCCCCUCUCUGUCUUUCUCUCUCUCUCUCUCUUUCAUCUCUCUUUCUCUCUCUUUCCUUUCUCUCCCCCUCUCUGUUUGUCUGUCUCUUUCUCCCUCAUCUCUCUCCCUUCCCCUCUCUCUUUGUCUGUCUGUCUCUCUCAUCUCCUUCUCUCUCUCUCUCUCUCAUUCUGAUUCUCCAGCACUCUCUGAGUCUCAUGGGCGCUUCUUCAGCCUUUGUUGGUGAUAGAUGCAACUCGGUCACUUGGUCACUCGGGGAGACUCACGAUCUGCUCUCCGCCCCGAGACACUCACCUGACCUGGCUGCAGCUAAUACUCUGCAUUGUAAUGGACUCCAGGAGGAGAAGAGGAUGCCGUCUCCCCCAUUGUGAAGUGCGCUAAAUUUAACUGUGUUGCAAGAGCAGUGGGCAGGCCAUGGAGGUGCCAACAGCAUGCCAGAGAGAAAUGGCCAGGCCGGGCCAGUGUCUUGGGGCUGAGAGGAAGUCACGCAUCUCCCCAAGAGACCAAGAUAUGCAAAGCACCAACAAGGGCCGGAAGAAAUGCCUGCAAGACCCAGCGAGAGAUGAAACUUCACUCCCACUUUGGAAUAUGGAAUGAAUCUCCACCCUCGCCCUUCCCUUCUCAGGCCAGUCGAGGAGUGAUGGGGAGGGGAGGGAGAGGGGCUGGGCCAGCCACUGGUGGUUUCAGCUGACAGGAAGCCACAGUAAGGGGAAGAAAGUGCUGCGGGUUGCCGACACCUGUUGCUUCGGCCCGCCUAUGCCACCACCACCCCUUGCACCAUUACCUCAUUCCGGCUGGCGAGGGCUGCGCUUCUCCUUGCACAUUGCACCACCUGCAGAGUUGCAAGUUGCACAUACCUCCCUCUAUGGCGGAGAUUUCCAGCCCCAUCAUGAGCUGCCUGUCUGGUCCCAUAUUCCAGAGUUCUAGUUACAGGACUGGCCAUUAGUCAUCUCGGAGCAGCUCCUCCACCCGGGUGCACUGUGGAUCACCAAAAUUUUCUCAGUUGGGGAUCUCUGGUUUAGAAGAUGAAUGGUAAUAACCUAUAAAUUCAUGAAAUGUAGAUUCUGAUAGGAAAGAAUAUAAUCACCAAAUUCUGAUCAAAAUAUUAACUCUGGUAAGAAAUAAGAUUCAGCAACAUUCAAGAACAUCCUUUUUCUUGGAAAGGAGCUGUAAUUGCUAUCUAACAGGAGGAAUGACCCAACUUGUCCAAAAUCAUAUUGACCCAUCUCAUUACAUAAUGUAGACAAUAAAGUCUUUACCACAAAAGAACUAAAUGUGCUUCUAAACAAACUGGUAGCGAUUGAUGAGACUGGGUUUGUUCCUAAGACGUACAUGAACUAUAACGGUAGAUACACUAGGGGAGUCAGAACAAGAGCUGGGGAUGGUGGGUAUUCUAAGGGGAGAUGGGACACAGUGACAUCAUGGUGAUGACAAGCAUGGUCAGACCCAGCAGCAGAUCACUCUUGGAGAAGGCUGUCCUAGUGUUUGGUAUCACUGUUGCAUUCCAGUCCCUUCUGCUUCCCCCACAAACUUUGAUUCCUAGCUUUCAUGGCCCCAUGUUUUCUUGCUGAUUCCCAAUGCCAGUUUAAUGUGUAAUAAGGCCGACCUGGCAUGCAGUAUCAGACCCAAUAUCUGUUUAAGAGGAUUUAUUUGCAGAUAGUACAACAACAUGUAGCUACGCUGCUAUGGGAAGUUUAUUGCCGCAUAUUAAAGUUAAUGCCCUUUCAGGUUUGGAGGCAGUUAAACAAUAUAAAUAUCUUGCUAUUUUAAAAGGAGGAGUUUGCUUUUAAAUAAUGUACUUAGGAAGAGCAGACCAAUCUUGUUGGAUUUCCAGGUCUUUGAUAUGCUAUUUAAAUAUUCAAAAUCCCCAAAGCUUUAUCAAAAUCCCCAAAGCUUUAACCAAAAACUGUCUACUAUUGACCUCACCCCAUUCCUAAGAGGUCCGUAAGGGGCGUGCAUAAGAGCACAAAUGUGCCUACCAUUCCUGUCCUAUUGUUUUCUUUCAUUAUAUCCAAUUAAUAUAGUUAUUGCAUGCUUAUGCUUAUAUAUAUAUGCUUAUAUAUUAUAUAGUUACUUUCAUGCUUAUGCUUAUAUAUAUUGUUGUGACAAAAUAAAUAAAUAAAAAUAAAUAAAUGCACUAAGUGCAUAUUUGUGCCCUGUCAUUAAGAGCACUUCCCUGAAAGGCCAGAUACUGAAGUUUUUGUGAAAUGGUCCUGAACCAUACUGAUUCAUAAUUGUCCUCUAUAAGGAAAAAAAUACAAUAUAAUAUGUGGGAAAAAAAGAACAUUUUUAAUCAAUGUGCUAUAAUUUAAGUCCAUGCAUCUGUUUUGACUUUAGAUAAUCCUGCUUCCCCCCUUAGUACUACAUUUGGGACAUAGUGAACUGCCUGAAAUAUACUGUAGCUUUUAGGAAUUUGGACUGUCCCCUUUCCAGAGGAGUAAAAGAAGAAUAAGGUCCUAGCUGACCAUCAAAGAGUAGCUGUGUGCAAACCAGAGGUGGGUUUCAGCAGGUUUUGACCAGUUUUGGAGAACCAGUAGCGGAAAUUUUGAGUAGUUCAGAGAACCAGUAGUAAAAGUCUGACUGGCCCCACCCCCAUCUAUUCUCUUCCUCCCAAGUCCCAGCUGAUAGGGAGGAAAUGGGGAUUUUGCAGUAUUCUUCCCCUGGAGUGGGGUGGGAAUGGAGAUUUUAUAGUAUCCUUCCCCUGCCAUGCCCACCAAGACACACCUACAGAACCGGUAGUAAAAAGAUUUGAAAC